GGGUUGUGAGGUUAAGCGACUAAGCGUACACGGUGGAUGCCCUGGCAGUCAGAGGCGAUGAAGGACGUGCUAAUCUGCGAUAAGCGUCGGUAAGGUGAUAUGAACCGUUAUAACCGGCGAUUUCCGAAUGGGGAAACCCAGUGUGUUUCGACACACUAUCAUUAACUGAAUCCAUAGGUUAAUGAGGCGAACCGGGGGAACUGAAACAUCUAAGUACCCGAGGAAAAGAAAUCAACCGAGAUUCCCCCAGUAGCGGCGAGCGAACGGGGAGCAGCCCAGAGCCUGAAUCAGUGUGUGUGUUAGUGGAAGCGUCUGGAAAGGCGCGCGAUACAGGGUGACAGCCCCGUACACAAAAAUGCACAUGCUGUGAGCUCGAUGAGUAGGGCGGGACACGUGGUAUCCUGUCUGAAUAUGGGGGGACCAUCCUCCAAGGCUAAAUACUCCUGACUGACCGAUAGUGAACCAGUACCGUGAGGGAAAGGCGAAAAGAACCCCGGCGAGGGGAGUGAAAAAGAACCUGAAACCGUGUACGUACAAGCAGUGGGAGCACGCUUAGGCGUGUGACUGCGUACCUUUUGUAUAAUGGGUCAGCGACUUAUAUUCUGUAGCAAGGUUAACCGAAUAGGGGAGCCGAAGGGAAACCGAGUCUUAACUGGGCGUUAAGUUGCAGGGUAUAGACCCGAAACCCGGUGAUCUAGCCAUGGGCAGGUUGAAGGUUGGGUAACACUAACUGGAGGACCGAACCGACUAAUGUUGAAAAAUUAGCGGAUGACUUGUGGCUGGGGGUGAAAGGCCAAUCAAACCGGGAGAUAGCUGGUUCUCCCCGAAAGCUAUUUAGGUAGCGCCUCGUGAAUUCAUCUCCGGGGGUAGAGCACUGUUUCGGCAAGGGGGUCAUCCCGACUUACCAACCCGAUGCAAACUGCGAAUACCGGAGAAUGUUAUCACGGGAGACACACGGCGGGUGCUAACGUCCGUCGUGAAGAGGGAAACAACCCAGACCGCCAGCUAAGGUCCCAAAGUCAUGGUUAAGUGGGAAACGAUGUGGGAAGGCCCAGACAGCCAGGAUGUUGGCUUAGAAGCAGCCAUCAUUUAAAGAAAGCGUAAUAGCUCACUGGUCGAGUCGGCCUGCGCGGAAGAUGUAACGGGGCUAAACCAUGCACCGAAGCUGCGGCAGCGACGCUUAUGCGUUGUUGGGUAGGGGAGCGUUCUGUAAGCCUGCGAAGGUGUGCUGUGAGGCAUGCUGGAGGUAUCAGAAGUGCGAAUGCUGACAUAAGUAACGAUAAAGCGGGUGAAAAGCCCGCUCGCCGGAAGACCAAGGGUUCCUGUCCAACGUUAAUCGGGGCAGGGUGAGUCGACCCCUAAGGCGAGGCCGAAAGGCGUAGUCGAUGGGAAACAGGUUAAUAUUCCUGUACUUGGUGUUACUGCGAAGGGGGGACGGAGAAGGCUAUGUUGGCCGGGCGACGGUUGUCCCGGUUUAAGCGUGUAGGCUGGUUUUCCAGGCAAAUCCGGAAAAUCAAGGCUGAGGCGUGAUGACGAGGCACUACGGUGCUGAAGCAACAAAUGCCCUGCUUCCAGGAAAAGCCUCUAAGCAUCAGGUAACAUCAAAUCGUACCCCAAACCGACACAGGUGGUCAGGUAGAGAAUACCAAGGCGCUUGAGAGAACUCGGGUGAAGGAACUAGGCAAAAUGGUGCCGUAACUUCGGGAGAAGGCACGCUGAUAUGUAGGUGAGGUCCCUCGCGGAUGGAGCUGAAAUCAGUCGAAGAUACCAGCUGGCUGCAACUGUUUAUUAAAAACACAGCACUGUGCAAACACGAAAGUGGACGUAUACGGUGUGACGCCUGCCCGGUGCCGGAAGGUUAAUUGAUGGGGUUAGCGCAAGCGAAGCUCUUGAUCGAAGCCCCGGUAAACGGCGGCCGUAACUAUAACGGUCCUAAGGUAGCGAAAUUCCUUGUCGGGUAAGUUCCGACCUGCACGAAUGGCGUAAUGAUGGCCAGGCUGUCUCCACCCGAGACUCAGUGAAAUUGAACUCGCUGUGAAGAUGCAGUGUACCCGCGGCAAGACGGAAAGACCCCGUGAACCUUUACUAUAGCUUGACACUGAACAUUGAGCCUUGAUGUGUAGGAUAGGUGGGAGGCUUUGAAGUGUGGACGCCAGUCUGCAUGGAGCCGACCUUGAAAUACCACCCUUUAAUGUUUGAUGUUCUAACGUUGACCCGUAAUCCGGGUUGCGGACAGUGUCUGGUGGGUAGUUUGACUGGGGCGGUCUCCUCCUAAAGAGUAACGGAGGAGCACGAAGGUUGGCUAAUCCUGGUCGGACAUCAGGAGGUUAGUGCAAUGGCAUAAGCCAGCUUGACUGCGAGCGUGACGGCGCGAGCAGGUGCGAAAGCAGGUCAUAGUGAUCCGGUGGUUCUGAAUGGAAGGGCCAUCGCUCAACGGAUAAAAGGUACUCCGGGGAUAACAGGCUGAUACCGCCCAAGAGUUCAUAUCGACGGCGGUGUUUGGCACCUCGAUGUCGGCUCAUCACAUCCUGGGGCUGAAGUAGGUCCCAAGGGUAUGGCUGUUCGCCAUUUAAAGUGGUACGCGAGCUGGGUUUAGAACGUCGUGAGACAGUUCGGUCCCUAUCUGCCGUGGGCGCUGGAGAACUGAGGGGGGCUGCUCCUAGUACGAGAGGACCGGAGUGGACGCAUCACUGGUGUUCGGGUUGUCAUGCCAAUGGCACUGCCCGGUAGCUAAAUGCGGAAGAGAUAAGUGCUGAAAGCAUCUAAGCACGAAACUUGCCCCGAGAUGAGUUCUCCCUGACCCUUUAAGGGUCCUGAAGGAACGUUGAAGACGACGACGUUGAUAGGCCGGGUGUGUAAGCGCAGCGAUGCGUUGAGCUAACCGGUACUAAUGAACCGUGAGGCUUAACCUUACAACGCCGAAGCUGUU
rnacentral:rRNA from 1 species